GGAGAGGUGGCCGAGUGGUUGAAGGCGCACGCUUGGAAAGCGUGUAAAGGAUUAUCCUUUCAUGGGUUCGAAUCCCAUUCUCUCCGCCA
rnacentral:tRNA from 1 species